rnacentral:rRNA from 1 species
CCUACGGGAGGCAGCAGUGGGGAAUAUUGCGCAAUGGGCGAAAGCCUGACGCAGCGACGCCGCGUGAGGGAUGCAGGUCUUCGGAUCGUAAACCUCUGUCAGCAGGGAAGAACGGUCACUGUGCUAAUCAGCAGUGAAUUGACGGUACCUGCAAAGGAAGCACCGGCGAACUCCGUGCCAGCCGCGGCGGUAAUACGGAGGGUGCGAGCGUUAAUCGGAAUUACUGGGCGUAAAGCGCUCGUAGGCGGUAUGUCAAGUCAAGGGUGAAAUCCCCGCGCUCAACGUGGGAACUGCCUUUGAAACUGGCAAACUGGAGUGUGUGAGAGGAUAGUGGAAUGCCAGGUGUAGGAGUGAAAUCCGUAGAUAUCUGGAGGAACAUCAGUGGCGAAGGCGACUAUCUGGCACAUAACUGACGCUGAGGAGCGAAAGCGUGGGUAGCAAACAGGAUUAGAGACCCUUGUAGUC